CCCAGAAAUUCUAUUUUCUGCGUUGGGGUCACCAUGGACUUUUCCCAGUUUAUGAGAAAAACCUAAGCUCUCCAGAAGAUCCACCGUCCAGCUCAGGUGCUGUAGAAGUUGGUCGGGGGACGCGGACAUAAUCAGUAUGUCGUCCAGGUAGAUAAUCAUGCGGACGCCCCGCGACCUGAGGAACGCCACCACCGGUUUCAUCACCUUCGU